UACGAAGGGGGCUAGCGUUGCUCGGAAUUACUGGGCGUAAAGGGCGCGUAGGCGGCACUGUUAGUCAGGCGUGAAAGCCCUGGGCUCAACCUGGGAACUGCGCUUGAUACGGCAGAGCUAGAGGAUGGAAGAGGGUCGCGGAAUUCCCAGUGUAGAGGUGAAAUUCGUAGAUAUUGGGAAGAACACCGGUGGCGAAGGCGGCGACCUGGUCCAUUACUGACGCUGAGGCGCGACAGCGUGGGGAGC
rnacentral:rRNA from 1 species